UGGAUUCAAUGGAAAAAGAAGUGAAGAGAGCAAUGCCUAACCAGACAGCUAGAGUUAUGCCACUCGGGAUUUAUCCAAGAUUGAGGUUGUCCCACUGCAACAUUAAAAAUUAAACAUUAAACUCCACGGCGGCAAAUAUAUCAGUUUAACAGUCGCUAAAACUUCCCCUUUCUUAAACCUUUCAAAAACCCUCCUCCACCACUCACGAUGGCUUCAACUGUCGACCCUCCAAAAUCAUUCAAACCCUACGAGCUCAAAUACACGCUCUCCGGCCACAAACGCGCCAUCUCCAGCGUCAAAUUCUCCGACGACGGCAGACUCUUAGCCACCUCCUCCGCCGACAAAACCGCCCGGACAUGGUCCCUCUCCGACGGCUCUCUCCUCCACGAAUUCGAAGGUCACGAACAGGGCAUCUCCGACGUGGCAUUCUCCUCCGACAACCGUUACCUAGCAACUGCCUCCGACGACAAAACUGUCCGAUUAUGGGACGUUACUACCGGUUCCCAUGUCAAAACCCUAACAGGUCACACAAACUAUGUGUUCUGUGUUAACUAUAACCCUCAAUCGAACUUGUUGGUUUCUGGUUCUUUUGAUGAGACUGUUAGGUUAUGGGAUGUGAAGACUGGGAAGUGUCUUAAGGUUCUGCCGGCGCAUUCAGAUCCUGUGACAGCUGUAAAUUUUAAUCGGGAUGGGUCGUUGAUUGUGUCAAGUAGCUAUGAUGGGUUGUGUAGAAUCUGGGAUGCUUCAACUGGGCAUUGUAUGAAGACCAUUAUUGAUGAUGAAAAUCCACCUGUUAGUUUUGUCAAGUUCUCCCCCAAUGGCAAAUUUAUACUCGUUGGCACUUUGGAUAAUACUCUGAGGCUUUGGAACUUCUCGACAGGAAAAGUUUUGAAAACUUACACGGGCCAUGUCAACUCAAAGUUCUGCGUUUCAUCAACAUUUUCCAUAACAGAUGGGAAAUAUAUUGUUAGUGGUUCCGAGGAUAAUUGUGUAUAUCUGUGGGAGCUUCAGUCAAGGAAGAUAGUUCAAAAAUUGGAAGGUCAUACUGAUACCGUAAUUUCUGUAGCAUGCCACCCCACACAGAACAUGAUUGCUUCUGGUUCUCUUGGGAAUGACAAGACAGUGAAGAUCUGGACUCAGGCUCAGGCGGAAAACAGUGAAGAUAUGACUUAAGCAUUUGUGCAUAAAUCAGGUGAUGUAGCAGAAUAACUGCAUGUUACUUGCCUUGCAUGUGAGAAUCGGUUAUUAUCAGUCUCUACAUGAGUUUGCACCUCCACACGAAUGAGCUUUUCGUAGAUCAGAAGAAAUGCAGUAGCAUAAGGAUGGCUGAGUUUGCUUUAUUGCUCGGACUGCUACUUUAGGAUUAAGGUUGAUGCUGUCUGUCUCUGGGAUUCUGAUUUUUAAGAUGAUGUGGAAAAUAUUUCUGGUUGUUAGAACUUAAAUAAUCUUAUUAAUAUCUGUAUAAGUUUAACAAGUUUUGGUCUAGGCUUCUUUUUUUAGUCAACAUUAUGAAGUUGUGCCUUUUUUUUU